GGGAGGAAGGUGUUUAAGUUAAUACCUUAAUCAUUUGACGUUACCUACAGAAGAAGCACCGGCUAACUCCGUACCAGCAGCCGCGGUAAUACGGAGGGUGCAAGCGUUAAUCGGAAUUACUGGGCGUAAAGCGCAUGCAGGUGGUUUGUUAAGUCAGAUGUGAAAGCCCUGGGCUCAACCUAGGAAUCGCAUUUGAAACUGACAAGCUAGAGUACUGUAGAGGGGGGUAGAAUUUCAGGUGUAGCGGUGAAAUGCGUAGAGAUCUGAAGGAAUACCGGUGGCGAAGGCGGCCCCCUGGACAGAUACUGACACUCAGAUGCGAAAGCGUGGGGAGCCAACAGGAUUAGAUACCCUGGUAGUCCACGCCGUAAACGAUGUCUACUUGGAGGUUGUGCCCUAGAGGCGUGGCUUUCGGAGCUAACGCGUUAAGUAGACCGCCUGGGGAGUACGGUCGCAAGAUUAAAACUCAAAUGAAU
rnacentral:rRNA from 1 species